UCUGAUUCAGAAGAUCCCUGAGCACUCCAACAUUAUUCUGAGAACCAACAAAGUUUGGAUACACCUGCACCUCAACAUUUGCUGCAGUUCUCUUACCCUUUGUAAAUUUGAAACCUGGUGGGAAUCCAUGGAGUUUAUAACACUUGUCAAUCAUAUGUCCAGGUUUCUUGCAAUAUCUACACAUUAUGUUUGUCUUAUUUAGAUCAAAGUUGACUCAUUGAUUGAAUUGCUUAGGAGGGGCAGUUGUGCCGGGGAAUUUGUUGGUGAGGUGAGUGUUGAAAGCACUUGAAUCAUUACAGAAUUGAGACGGUGAGGAAACUUGUCCUUGUCCCUCAUCCUGAAGCAAGAUGUUGUAUGCAGUGUAUAGGGAUGGAGGAGGUUGCAACAUGAGAAUAUUGCUCAUAACCCCCAACAUAGGUGUCAUUAAGCCUCAUGAGAAAUUGAUGUAGCUUGUUCUCAUCAUCUUCUUUUUGAAGCUCAAAUUUGGCAGCACAUGUGGAAGUGCUACCACGAGAUGCACGCAUAAAGCCCAACUCAUCCCACAAUCUCUUUAGCUUGUUGAAGUAAGAUGCUAUAUCC
rnacentral:lncRNA from 1 species